AGUAGCCGCGGGAAUACGAAGGGGGCUAGCGUUGUUCGGAAUUACUGGGCGUAAAGCGCACGUAGGCGGAUAUUUAAGUCAGGGGUGAAAUCCCAGAGCUCAACUCUGGAACUGCCUUUGAUACUGGGUAUCUUGAGUAUGGAAGAGGUAAGUGGAAUUCCGAGUGUAGAGGUGAAAUUCGUAGAUAUUCGGAGGAACACCAGUGGCGAAGGCGGCUUACUGGUCCAUUACUGACGCUGAGGUGCGAAAGCGUGGGGAGCAAACAGGAUUAGAUACCCGAGUAGUCCCUGUCUCUUAUACA
rnacentral:rRNA from 1 species